rnacentral:rRNA from 1 species
GAGUUUGAUCUUGGCUCAGAGCGAACGCUGGCGGCAGGCCUAACACAUGCAAGUCGAGCGGAUGUAGCAAUACAUCAGCGGCAGACGGGAUAGUAACACGUGGGAACGUGCCCUUUGGUUCGGAAUAACUCGGCGAAAGCCGUGCUAAUACCGGAUAAGCCCUUACGGGGAAAGAUUCAUCGCCAUUGGAGCGGCCCGCGUCUGAUUAGCUAGUUGGUGAGGUAAUGGCUCACCAAGGCGACGAUCAGUAGCUGGUCUGAGAGGAUGAUCAGCAUCACUGGGACUGAGACACGGCCCAGACUCCUACGGGAGGCAGCAGUGGGGAAUAUUGGACAAUGGGCGCAAGCCUGAUCCAGCCAUGCCGCGUGGAUGAUGAAGGCCUUAGGGUUGUAAAGUCCUUUUAACGGGGAAGAUAAUGACGGUACCCGUAGAAUAAGCCCCGGCUAACUUCGUGCCAGCCGCCGCCGUAAG